AGCAAAAGAAACCAACAGGGAUUGCCUCAGUAACUGCGAGUGAAGCGGCAAAAGCUCAAAUUUGAAAUCUGGCGCCUUCGGCGUCCGAGUUGUAAUUUGGAGGGGCAUCUUCGGGUUNGGCGCCGUCCUAAGUUCCUUGGAACAGGACGUCACAGAGGGUGAGAAUCCCGUGCCUGGGCGGCAGUCCAAAUCCAUGUGAAGUGUCUCCGACGAGUCGAGUUGUUUGGGAAUGCAGCUCAAAAUGGGUGGUAAAUUUCAUCUAAAGCUAAAUAUUGGCGAGAGACCGAUAGCGCACAAGUAGAGUGAUCGAAAGAUGAAAAGCACUUUGAAAAGAGAGUUAAAAAGUACGUGAAAUUGUUGAAAGGGAAGCGCUUGCGACCAGACUCGGUCUUUGGGGGUCAUCCGGGUUUCGGCUCGGUGCCAUCCCCAUUGAUCGGGCCAGCAUCGGUUCCGGCGGCGGGAUAAAAGGCGAGGGAAUGUGGCUCUCUUCGGGGAGUGUUAUAGCCCUCGUCACAAUGCCGCCAGCUGGGACCGAGGACCGCGCUUCGGCUAGGAUGCUGGCGUAAUGGUCUUAAGCGAC
rnacentral:rRNA from 1 species